GUAACAGUCAGCAGCUUACUACAGCUUCUUCUCUUCCUACUGCUGUCUGUACAUCAGCUUAUGGUUCCAGCCAGCUCUGCCAAACAGAAGUGCCAGAAUACCAUAAGACAAAGCGCCCUCAUAUUUAUGGCCUACUUCAAAACUAGCUGCCCCAUCACUAUAUCCACUACUAGUUACAGACUUCCAAAGAGAAGAACCUCAGGUGCUGAACUCAGUCGGACCUGGAAGCAUUCAGAAGACAGGACUAGUGGGAACUUCCCCAACCAGAAGUAA